GGUAAAGCUACCAAGAGCACAUGGUGGAUGCCUUGGUACGAGCAGCCGAUGAAGGACGCAGAAAGCGGCGAUACGCCACGGGGAGUUGCAACAAGCCAUGAUCCGUGGAAUUCCGAAUGGGGCAACCCCACUGGUUGAAGACCAGUGACUGGCACGUGAAUACAUAGCGUGUCAGAGGCAACCCGGCGAACUGAAACAUCUUAGUAACCGGAGGAACAAAGACCAAAUCAGGGAUUCCCCUAGUAGCGGCGAGCGAACGGGGACCAGCCUAAACUCAUUACAUGUCAUAGCGUGCAGGCGUUGUGUAAUGGGGGUCGUGGGAACCACAGACAGCGCUGCAUUGCUGUCAAGAAGUUACAAAUCCUUAGCUAGCCAAACACAACUGGAAAGUUGGGCCAUAGUGUGUGAUAGCCACGUCGGCGAAAGCGAAAGGACUUCUGUGGGUUUCCCGAGUAGCACGGCACACGUGAAACGCCGUGUGAAUCUGCCAGGACCAUCUGGUAAGGCUAAAUACUGCUCGUAACCGAUAGUGAACCAGUACGGUGACGGAAAGGCGAAAAGAACAGUGGAAAGCUGAGUGAAAUAGAACCUGAAACCGUGUGCUUACAAGCAGUCAAAGCCCUAUUGAUAGGGUGAUGGCGUGCCUGUUGAAGAAUGAGCCGGCGAGUUACUUUAUGUUGCUCGGUUAAGGGGUUAAUACCCGGAGCCAUAGCGAAAGCGAGUCCUAACUAGGGCGUCUAGUAACAUGAAGUAGACCCGAACCCGGGUGAUCUAACCAUGACCAGCGUGAAGCGGCAGUAACAUGUCGUGGAGGUGCGAACCCACUGAUGUUGAAAAAUCAGGGGAUGAGUUGUGGUUAGGGGUGAAAUGCCAAUCGAACCCGGAGCUAGCUGGUUCUCCCCGAAAUGUAUUGAGGUACAGCGUCGCGUUUAUCUUACCGGGGGUAGAGCACUGAUUCG
rnacentral:rRNA from 1 species